CCUACGGGAGGCAGCAGUGUGGAAUAUUGCGCAAUGGGCGAAAGCCUGACGCAGCGACGCCGCGUGAGGGAUGAAGUAAUUCGUUAUGUAAAGCUCUAUCAGCAGGGAAGAAAAUGACGGUACCUGAGUAAGAAGCCCCGGCUAACUACGUGCCAGCAGCCGCGGUAAUACGUAGGGGGCACGCGUUAUCCGGAUUUACUGGGUGUAAAGGGAGCGUAGACGGCAGUGCAAGUCUGGAGUGAAAGGCGGGGGCGCAACCCCCGGACUGCUCUGGAAACUGUACGGCUGGAGUGCAGGAGAGGUAAGUGGAAUUCCUAGUGUAGCGGUGAAAUGCGUAGAUAUUAGGAGGAACACCAGUGGCGAAGGCGGCUUACUGGACUGUAACUGACGUUGAGGCUCGAAAGCGUGGGGAGCAAACAGGAUUAGAUACCCUGGUAGUC
rnacentral:rRNA from 1 species